GGCGAACGGGUGAGUUAACGCGUGGAUUAUCUUGCCCUGAGGUGGGGGAUAACCCGGGGAAACUCGGGCUAAUACCGCAUAUGACCGGGAGGUCAAAGGGGGGUCGCAAGAUCUCUCGCCUUUGGAGGAGUCCGCGUUCGAUUAGCUAGUUGGUAGGGUAAUGGCCUACCAAGGCGACGAUCGAUAGCCGGCCUGAGAGGGUGAUCGGCCACACUGGAACUGAGACACGGUCCAGACUCCUACGGGAGGCAGCAGUGGGGAAUUUUGCGCAAUGGGCUAACGCCUGACGCAGCAACGCCGCGUGGAGGAUGAAGGUCUUUGGAUUGUAAACUCCUGUCAGCAGGGAAAAAGCGACCUGACCUCAUACGUCAGAGAGUUGAUCGUACCUGCAGAGGAAGCCACGGCUAACUCUGUGCCAGCCGCCGCGG
rnacentral:rRNA from 1 species